rnacentral:lncRNA from 1 species
CACGACCCACCUCUGGGACUCGCGGGGGGCGUCCUCAGAGGGGCGACUCCUACAAAUGAAGGCCAAGUCUGGGGAAAGUUUCUGGCGGUGUCAAGGGUCAGUUUUUUCUUGUAGGGACGUUCUCUAGCCAAGAGAUGGAAACUCCAGCGAUUUUGUCCGCGGGUUCUGCUGACAUCACAAACCACACAUCACUCCGUGUCAUCUUGUGUAGUUUGUACAAAGACUCUCCAUCAUUACUGCAGCCUUCUGCACGUUCGCCUUUCAAAGCCCCAGCAGGUACGAUCAUGUCAUAACAUUUGGAGGGUGAAGGGAGAUGUGACUAUGGUUCAUUGUCUGAUUGAAAGAGCGGAGGUUCAGAAUCCUACAGGGAUUUCCUGCUGUCAGACUUCUGGAUCCUCGCAGAGCUGAGACCAGACUCCAAACCUGUGGACUUCUCGUUCUGAGUACUUUCUACCGUGGCAUGCUACCUCAAAGUGAGCCUGCUGGAAAAUCUACCAUUAAUCUUCGUGAAAAGAAAUUAAACUUUAAACCUUGCACACUAAAAAGAAAAAGCUGCUAAGGACAGAUGAAAUUUCUUCUCCUGGGCUCUAGUCCCUGUUUUCCGCACCAGCUGUGGACCUUCAUCCUGGCCACUAAGGGACUUGGCUUUGAUCAUAUUCCAAAGAUCUGGCAAUUAAUUAGCAUGAGCGAUAUUGUUAAGAAGUUACACAAAGAACUCAUAGUCAUUCUGUUGUAACCCGUGUUCCUUCACCUUAAAAAAAUUCUGAGUAGAUGAGUAUGAUUCAGGAGAAGACAUCAUCAAUUAAUUCUAAAGAUGAUCACUGAUGACCUGAACUUUUUCUAGUAUUUGGGGAAGGGUCAAGGAUAUUGGCAACAUUCUUCAAAGAAACAGUGGUUUCUAGUGCGCCUCAGUGGUAGUUGGACUAGAGAUGGUUUUGCUAUCAUUGAAUUCCAUGGGGAGUGGGAGGGCUCUGAUUAACUUGACUCCUGAUUUAACAAAGGAAAGCUCCUCACUUCUAGAGUGGAAGAAACCCUCCUGGGAAG